UUGUUUUAAAAAUUUGAAAUCCCCACCUCCAGUUCCUUGUUUCAAAAUUCACGAUAUUUUUAUUCAAGUUCUUGUCACCUCACCAUUAGGUACACCAUUAGGUAGUGGCUGAUGUACCACCAGCAUUAUUGAAAAAUUUUGGGGAAAAUUUUGACAAACCCAAAACCAAACCAUGGUUCCAGGGAUGGACCAGCAAUUAAAUUAUUGAAGCAACCAUCCCCUGCCAUAGACAAUCACGAGAGAACCUCUCCCCUCUCAUUGCUAACGCUGAAGUAGAACCCACCAACCCGACGAUCAAAACCCAGUCUCAGACUCCCUGCUGCCGGCGAUUCUACGAAUGGCAAGAAAAUGUUCACGAGAGGAACCUCCCACUACCUAACGCUGCAUAAAGACCCAGUAGCCCACAAUUGAAAAACACGUCGCUGACUCCCUCCUGCCAUCGAUUCAACGAUUGGAAUGGAAAAAUCGCAAUCGGCAAAACCGCAAACGAUAAGAAAGGGAAAACAGCAAAGGAUUCAGCCUGCUCCUUCCUAUCGUCAUUUCUACUUGCUUCCACUCGUCCACAUUGAAAUCACCAAUUGCAAUUCAAACCUUAAUCUGAGUGAUAAGGAACAUGACUGAAAAACCUGUCGCUGACUCCCUCCUGCCAUCGAUUCAAGGAUUGGAAAGGAAAAAUCACAAUCAGCAAAAUCGCAAACGAUUGGAAAGGGAAAACAGCAAAGGAUUCAGCCUGCUCCCUCCUAUCGUCAUUGCUACUUGCUUCCUGUAGUCCACAGUCAAAUCGCCAAUUGCAGUUCAGACCCUAAUCUUAGUAAUAAGGUUAGUACAUUAACAAUUUUGAUUUAGUAAUUUUUCUUCCUGACCAGCGACUCCGGUCGACUAAUUAUGAUUUCAGCCUUUGUGAACGGGGAAUGUAUGAAUUUAUGAAACUCAAAACCUGUGAUUUGUGAUUUUUGAAUGGUUGAAUUCGUCUGCUUCUAUAACCUGUUGGUUUUUUUGAGGCUUUCUUGAAUUUCUGAUUUUGUCAAUAUGUGAAUUGUAAAUUUGCUUUGGAGAAUUGAUAUGUUUUUUGUGUUUUUGAUAUGUAAGAUUUAGUUUGGGAACUUCAUCAAAAAUUCAAAAUAGAGGUGGUGAUUAUUAUUACAAGAUCAUGUAUUUUUACCUUCUUAAUGGUGAUUAUGUUCAGCCUUCCAAGUGAAAAUGUCUUUUGACUCGUAGAUAAAUUGGGCGUUACUUUAUCGUCUCUGCAUUAAGAAGUAAAGGUAGUUUCACAAUCCUAUGUUAAUAAUGUACCUAACAUUUUCUUGUUUUUAUAGAGCCAAUGCUGUAAUGUGGAAGAAGUUCAUUGUUAUCUUUUUAUCCAGCAUUUGCUUUGUAAUGUUGUGAUAUUUUUGUUGUCUAUCUGGCUCUUAUUAUGUGGAGAUGACUGGCUGAUUUGGUCGGAUGAUUGUGAAUAUUUUACUUGCCAUA